GACGAACGCUGGCGGCGUGCUUAACACAUGCAAGUCGAACGGUAAGGCCCUUCGGGGUACACGAGUGGCGAACGGGUGAGUAACACGUGGGUGAUCUGCCCUGCACUUCGGGAUAAGCCUGGGAAACUGGGUCUAAUACCGGAUAGAACUCCUGGCUUCAUGGUUGGGGGUGGAAAGCUUUUGCGGUGUGGGAUGGGCCCGCGGCCUAUCAGCUUGUUGGUGGGGUAAUGGCCUACCAAGGCGACGACGGGUAGCCGGCCUGAGAGGGUGACCGGUCACACUGGGACUGAGAGACGGCCCAGACUCCUACGGGAGGCAGCAGUGGGGAAUAUUGCACAAUGGGCGCGAGCCUGAUGCAGCGACGCCGCGUGAGGGAUGACGGCCUUCGGGUUGUAAACCUCUUUCAGCUAUGACGAAGCGCAAGUGACGGUAGUAGCAGAAGAAGGACCGGCCAACUACGUGCCAGCCGCCGCCGUAA
rnacentral:rRNA from 1 species